UUCUAAAUACGCGGCAAGAACUCAGAGACGCGCACGUAAAGCCAUUUCACACUAUUAAACCUCUAUCUUUUCUCUUUCUUUUAAUCCGUUGUUCGCGUAUUUUCGUAUUAAAUUCAUUCGCGUUUAUCAUGAUACUAAUUCCGAAAAUUGUAAUCGUCCUGUGACACGUCUAUUUAAUUUUGCAAUAAAUGACGACCGGGUGCGCGACAAGUGUUAGUGAGGCACCAGUCUAUCAUCUUUCUUGGUGUUCCAGAUUCAACAGCGAUUUUCAACGAUUAAAUAGCGAACUACAAAGCGAUUUUUAUCGUACAUUACAUUCUACAGUUUCACGGUCGCAAACGUACAGCUGCCAAAUUGUAGCGGGCAUCUUUGUGUAUCCAUCGGGAAGUUCUCAAGGUUCAUCGGACAUCCUGCUUUGAUUGUAAGCCUGCAAUUAUAAUAUUGUCUGGUCACAAAGGCUCAAUAGAAAGAGGGAAACUCCGUUGAAACUCUCACUAAGGAAAUACACGAGACCGCUUGGGAAGCCUCUCCUGUUUAUGAGCUUUUAGAAUAUAUCCAGAACUAGUCAAACGAGGUCAACAAAAAGAAAACGGGAAAACUAAGGAAUUUAAAGCAAAAUUUCAGAUUUCACAACGAUUGAUCCAAAUUUCACAAAGUUGCAACAUAGUAAAAGAUUAUUCUACACGAGACAAAAAUUCAGCUAUCCAACAUUAUUUUUAAGUUUGAUAGGAACUAUAAAAAACAACCGAAAAUUUAAGCGAUCUCAACAAGUCAUCCCACUCGUUCGUUUAGAGAACGGAAAACGGGUCAGGAGCCAUGCAGAAAAGCGCCAAAACGUUCGCGACACACUUAUUAAAGCGAGGCGUGCUAUGGUGCGCUAUACAAAAUCCAUGCGUUUGAUGUGUCAAUUUCAGAGACUUGGGGGUGUUAUAAACCUGCUCUGCCGUACCGAAGCUUCUGCUUAUACCGGCGCGGCGGUAUUAAAGGGUGCAACAGCGCUAAAAAAGUAUCUACUCCCCCGCAACCACCACUUUCCAAGUGGCAGCAGGCGUACCGUUGUGAUGUCUCAGGCCAGAUGAGCGUAAGAAUGCUUGAAGUGCUGUUGCCUUCAGGAAGGCAAAUUGCUAUUGCAUGCAUGAUUCCGAUGAACAUAUGGUGCGAUAGCUGAGAGUAGUCCUUUCAAAUUCGUAUCAGAAUACGCAAGUGGCUCCAUCAGGUCCAACGAAAAAACUACUGCAAUACCGACCUGCCAAAUCGAAGAGAUCAUGUGGCGUGUCUACCACCCUAACAGAAGCGACAUCAACGCUCCAAGUAUUCCUGCGCAUCAACUAAUUUGCGUUACAGCACGAAAUACGGGAGUUUGGAGAGCUUGGCUAUUGCUACCAAUUGCAAGUGCAUAAUUCGUCUCUUUGCCGUGCCGGGGCUUAUCUUCUGACAAGGGAACAUCGGGGACUGAUACACUCCGAUUUUGAUGAAACUGUAUAAAUAUUUAUUAGACCUGUUUAUGAAGAUAACUGUAAUUCGAUGG